UCGGCAUAAGCAAACCUGUGAGGCUUUAUUCCCCAGGGAGAGCAAGGCAGUGGACUGUUAGCAGGACAGUGGACAUAUGCACAUCCUUUGGUCAUCUGGACUGAGCCCAGCAUCAUGGGACAUGCGAAGAUCUCCCAGCAUGUUGCAGAAGAAAGGCUCAGGAGUUACCGAGGUACACUUCGGAUCACAUAUGUGCUGGUCACCGUCAGCUUCGUCCUGCCUCUCAGCACGGGACUGCCACAGAUACGGAGGAGCCAUGGAGAAGCAGACGCACUGAAGCAGAAAACCAUGGCGCUGUCAUUCCCUGCUCUAGGACAGAUGCUGCAAACACUUCUUCCAGGAGCAGAAGCCGUAUCACUGUCAUCUAAAGAGUGGCUGAGCACUCAGUGAUUUUUAAUUUCUUGGAAGUCAUAAUUUGCGGAGCACCCACAGCCCAGCAGAGACUAAUCUCUCCUCUUCCCUGUCCUCUGCUCGUGCUUGUGGGAUGACCAGGACUGCAGUCUUGAACCUCCAACAGCCGGAAAGUAAGGGCUUUUGUUGAACCCUGCGGGCUACCGGUUUUGCCCAGCUGCG